AAGCGUUUGAAUUCGCUGAAUUUUCUGUUAUAGAAGUUCAAAACUCAGACGAAAGAGCACAGUCGUAAGAUAAAUGGAUUUCUUUGUAAAGAAAAGAUUACAACAGCGGAACCUCUGCAAUUUAAUAGAAACAUUUCAAGGUUGGUACUAAUAUGGUCCACUACCUCAACAAUGAGACAAGCCAGGAUCCACAUGUCUUGGUGCUUGGAGACAAAGAAAAUUCCUCCCAAGUUUUCAUCAUUUUCAUUGGAGAGGCAGUUGAAAAGGAGUCCUUACUUCAAGCAGUGAAUGAAUGCUUCAAAAUGUUCUACAUCUAUGACGUAAACUACCCAAAGCCCUCUGCUCCAAUUUGGGAGUUCUUGCAGCAUGCAGUCUAUAAUAUUCCUGGAGGAGUUCCUUCUACACAUUGCUGCCUCCUAAAAAACUUUGUAUUCAAAGUUACUGAUCAUCAGUUGAUCCAGUAGCCAAAACACACCUUUAAGGGUUAGUUCACCCACAAAUGAAAAUUCUGUCAUUAAUCACCCUCAUGUUGUUCCAAACCCGCAAGACCUCCGUUCAUCUUUGAAACACAAAUUAAGAU
ensembl:lncRNA